CUGAACAUUGGGUAUCUUCUUCUGAGAUCGAAUACACAGGAUUAGCCAUCAAUAACUGCCGGCUUUCAACGGGUCCGGCUAUCCUUUCACCGGUCGGUCAGUUAUGGAAGACUCUGCUGGGUAGAAGCCCGAAUAUCAUUAAGAAUAUCUUAACAUUUUUUAUUUCUGUGUGUUUUUUUUUAAAUAAUGGAAGGUAAUAUAUGAAUAAGAACAGAUAGCAUUCUGCUAGAGAGAGAGGGCGCUAGCCCGGGUACAUAAGUAUAAGGUCCACCAGUGCACACAAUUAUUCUGUUAUUAUCUCCUGCCCGUUUAACUACUCCUCGAGACAUUUCUGCUGAUGGGCCCUUGAAUUAUAGCAGGAGCAACCUCAAUUGCCGUAC
rnacentral:lncRNA from 1 species